rnacentral:rRNA from 1 species
GAAGCGAACGCGGUGAACUGAAACAUCUAAGUAACCGCAGGAAAAGAAAUCAACCGAGAUUCCCAAAGUAGUGGCGAGCGAAAUGGGAUGAGCCUUGCACUCUUUAUUUGUAUUGUUAGCCGAACGCUCUGGAAAGUGCGGCCAUAGCAGGUGAUAGCCCUGUAGGCGAAAACAGUAUGAAAGAACUAGGUGUGCGACAAGUAGGGCGGGACACGUGAAAUCCUGUCUGAAGAUGGGGGGACCAUCCUCCAAGGCUAAAUACUCGUGAUCGACCGAUAGUGAACCAGUACCGUGAGGGAAAGGCGAAAAGAACCCCGGGAGGGGAGUGAAAUAGAUCCUGAAACCGCAUGCAUACAAACAGUCGGAGCCUCGUAAGGGGUGACGGCGUACCUUUUGUAUAAUGGGUCAGCGACUUACGUUCAGUAGCAAGCUUAACCGUAUAGGGCAGGCGUAGCGAAAGCGAGUCCGAAUAGGGCGUUCAGUUGCUGGGCGUAGACCCGAAACCAGGUGAUCUAUCCAUGGCCAGGAUGAAGGUGCGGUAACACGUACUGGAGGUCCGAACCCACUAACGUUGAAAAGUUAGGGGAUGAGCUGUGGAUAGGGGUGAAAGGCUAAACAAACCUGGAAAUAGCUGGUUCUCUCCGAAAACUAUUUAGGUAGUGCCUCGUGUCUCACCUUCGGGGGUAGAGCACUGUCAUGGUUGGGGGGUCUAUUGCAGAUUACCCCGCCAUAGCAAACUCCGAAUACCGAAGAGUGCAAUCACGGGAGACAGACAUCGGGUGCUAACGUCCGGUGUCAAGAGGGAAACAACCCAGACCGCCAGCUAAGGUCCCCAAAUAUAGCUAAGUGGGAAACGAAGUGGGAAGGCUAAAACAGUCAGGAGGUUGGCUUAGAAGCAGCCACCCUUUAAAGAAAGCGUAAUAGCUCACUGAUCGAGUCGUCCUGCGCGGAAGAUGUAACGGGGCUAAGCUAUAUACCGAAGCUGCGGAUGCGAGCUUGCUCGCAUGGUAGGAGAGCGUUCCGUAAGCCUGCGAAGGUGCCUUGUAAAGGGUGCUGGAGGUAUCGGAAGUGCGAAUGCUGACAUGAGUAGCGAUAAAGGGGGUGAAAGGCCCCCUCGCCGUAAGCCCAAGGUUUCCUACGCAACGUUCAUCGGCGUAGGGUGAGUCGGCCCCUAAGGCGAGGCAGAAAUGCGUAGCUGAUGGGAAGCAGGUCAAUAUUCCUGCACCAUUGUUAGAUGCGAUGGGGGGACGGAUCGCGGAAGGUUGUCCGGGUGUUGGAAGUCCCGGUCGCUGCAUUGGAGAAGGCGCUUAGGCAAAUCCGGGCGCGUAAUUCAAGGGUGUGGCGCGAGCUCCUUAGGGAGCGAAGCAAUUGGAAGUGGUUCCAAGAAAAGCCUCUAAGCUUCAGUCUAACGAUGACCGUACCGCAAACCGACACAGGUGGGCGAGAUGAGUAUUCUAAGGCGCUUGAGAGAACUCGGGAGAAGGAACUCGGCAAAUUGGUACCGUAACUUCGGGAUAAGGUACGCCCUUGUAGCUUGACCAGCCUGCGCUGGAAGGGUGAAGGGGUUGCAAUAAACUGGUGGCUGCGACUGUUUAAUAAAAACACAGCACUCUGCAAACACGAAAGUGGACGUAUAGGGUGUGACGCCUGCCCGGUGCCGGAAGAUUAAAUGAUGGGGUGCAAGCUCUUGAUUGAAGUCCCGGUAAACGGCGGCCGUAACUAUAACGGUCCUAAGGUAGCGAAAUUCCUUGUCGGGUAAGUUCCGACCUGCACGAAUGGCGUAACGAUGGCCACACUGUCUCCUCCCGAGACUCAGCGAAGUUGAAGUGUUUGUGAUGAUGCAAUCUACCCGCGGCUAGACGGAAAGACCCCAUGAACCUUUACUGUAGCUUUGCAUUGGACUUUGAACCGAUCUGUGUAGGAUAGGUGGGAGGCUAUGAAACCGGAACGCUAGUUUCGGUGGAGCCGUCCUUGAAAUACCACCCUGGUUUGUUUGAGGUUCUAACCUUGGCCCGUGAUCCGGGUCGGGGACAGUGCAUGGUAGGCAGUUUGACUGGGGCGGUCUCCUCCCAAAGCGUAACGGAGGAGUACGAAGGUACGCUAGGUACGGUCGGAAAUCGUGCUGAUAGUGCAAUGGCAUAAGCGUGCUUAACUGCGAGACCGACAAGUCGAGCAGGUGCGAAAGCAGGUCAUAGUGAUCCGGUGGUUCUGUAUGGAAGGGCCAUCGCUCAACGGAUAAAAGGUACUCUGGGGAUAACAGGCUGAUACCGCCCAAGAGUUCAUAUCGACGGCGGUGUUUGGCACCUCGAUGUCGGCUCAUCUCAUCCUGGGGCUGUAGCCGGUCCCAAGGGUAUGGCUGUUCGCCAUUUAAAGAGGUACGUGAGCUGGGUUUAAAACGUCGUGAGACAGUUUGGUCCCUAUCUGCCGUGGGCGUUGGAUAUUUGAAGGGGGCUGCUCCUAGUACGAGAGGACCGGAGUGGACGAACCUCUGGUGUACCGGUUGUCACGCCAGUGGCAUCGCCGGGUAGCUAUGUUCGGAAGAGAUAACCGCUGAAAGCAUCUAAGCGGGAAACUCGCCUUAAGAUGAGAUAUCCCUGGGGACUAGAUCCCCUUGAAGGGUCGUUCGAGACCAGGACGUUGAUAGGUC